GACAGAGGUCUCGAGCGUUAGGCGGAAUCACUGGGCUUAAAGCGUGUGUAGGCGGAUGUCUAAGUACCUUGUGAAAUCCCAUGGCUUAACCAUGGAAUUGCUUGGUAUACUGGAUGUCUUGAGCCAGCUAGGGGCAACCGGAACAAAUGGUGGAGCGGUGAAAUGCGUAGAUAUCAUUUGGAACGCCAAUGGUGAAAACAGGUUGCUGGGGCUGUGCUGACGCUGGAGACACGAAAGCCAGGGGAGCGAACGGG
rnacentral:rRNA from 1 species